AGAUUCAUCAAAUUAUUUCAUUGUCCAUAGACUAAUAAGCAUUAUUUAUGUUAAAAAAAAAAACAAUAAUAAAAAGUCAAUAUACAUGUAGCUAUGAUAAUUAAUAAAUUUGAUGCAGACUUAUAGAUGCCUGCCUAUGUCACAUGACUUCUCGAAAAGUCCCCUCUCACAGUAGUAGCCGAGGUAUUUUAAAAGGAAAUAUGUAGAUGUCCGGUAACCGGACGACUACCCUGCAUUCUAGCUGUCCGGCAAGAAGACGACUAGCCUCUCCGCUAAUGUUUUUUUCUAGCUGUUCAGCGAUCUUUUUACAUAUGAAUACUGUAAUGAAUUAAUUUAUUGUAUCAUAUUUUUUGGCAUAAGUUUGAAUAUUCACCUGUAAGGCUUAUACAACAUUUUAAAAUUGAUUACCGGAUGCCUAGAAAACCCCUAUAGGAUAGGAUAUGCUAGGCGUCCUGUUACCGGUCGGCUAGAACACUGGCUAGGUUUCUGGUUACCGGAUGUCUAGACACUUCCGUUUAUAAAAUGGUAACUGUUUUUUGCUGUGGGUCUCAUAAGUCAUGUUAUUUCUGUCUGGUGACUACUCUCUUUCCAUUAUUGUUGAUUCAGAAUGUUUUGUAACAGGAUGAUUGCAUAUGGAUAGUGGGAAUUUAUGCCAUAUAAUGAAAAUCUUCUUAUUUUUGAAAUUUUUGAGCCUUGCUUUGUGUAAAACAAUUUAAUAUGAUCCUUUAAAAAAUAGAUUCAUAGUAUAAUAACUUUUAAAGUAUUUUGUGGUAAGUUAAUGAAACCUUUCAAAAUCACAUUAUUAAUUUAGUAGUCAGUUUUUGAUUUUUAGUGAUGUUUACGGUACAUGUAAUGUAUCUUCUUUCAGAUAAUAUUCGUGUUCCUUUGAUGGUUCAUUCCACUACAGCUGGUUCAUAUACCCUACAACAGCCAGGAAAUUGGUCUGUUUAUUUUAAGAUCUCAAGAAAAUGGAACAUAUUUUGGAUGUGGAAUCAGGAAGGCAAGUGUUUUCUCUUGUUUAUGAAAGCAACUCAGUUGGUUAAGGGGCAGACAGCUUGUGAGAAUGGUACAUCACUACCUGUAUUGGUAUUCCAUUUUGACAAUGCUGCUAGCUAGAAUAGAAAUAACAUCUUGCUGUGGUAUGGUCUGUGGAGAGUUUUACUAGGAUAUCACAGAUCGAUUGAAUAUUCAACAAUGAUCACAGACCAUGCAAAGUUUGAAUCUGACUUGCACUUUUGAAUUUAGAAGAAUCUGUGGAGGAGGGUGAAUGCUGAGACCUUUAAUAAUACAUGAUAUUGCUGACACAGUGUGUCAGUCAUCAAAGAAAGGUCAUAACACUGCACAGUUGGUCAACAAUGAUUUAAAUCCUGUCACAUUCUACCAGCGGGGAAAUAUCUUAUCACAAUAUUUUAAACUUUUGAAGAAGAUAACCAAGUAUUACCACUUUAUCAUGUCUGCAGAAACACCUGGAUUGUUAGUCUUAAAAGUGACAGUCCAGUUAACUUACUAAAAUCUACUCCCCCUUGCCAAACAAAUAUUAUUGACAUGGAAUGACACAAGCCUGACAAUGGUACCUGUAUGAACUCAUAAGAGAAUAGCAUUUGUCUGAAAAGUCAAAGGAUUCUGUUUGUCCCAAACCACUUGAACUGAAAUUGGAUUGACGAGGAUUUUUCUGAGAACAAAAAAAAAGGAAGUGAAUAUAAAAGAUAGAAAUUGUUGUUGAAUUCAAACGUUUUAAUAUACAACACUUAAGCCUGUUUUGCUGUUCAUAUAGAUGUGUCUAUCUGUUAAGGUUAAACAUCAAGUAAAGGUUGUAGUUUCAGUUACCUACAUUAAAGUAUUAGCUGGAAAUAAAUAUUUACUUUUCACCAGAGCUUGUAGCAGUGUAACCUUCAUCAAAAGUUAAGCUGUUGUGUUAAUUAUUAAAGUAUUUUUAGAAAAAGGAAUUUAGUUUGUAUGUUGCCAUGGUAACAUAAUUAAAAUUAUAUUUCAUUGAAAUUAUGGAUUUGUAUUUCAAUAAGGGAUCUACAGUAUAUAAUGUAAUGGUAAAAGAAUGUUCACUUUCUUCAGUAUUGUCAGUUAUAACUAGCCAGUGAAAAAAGAUUAUGAGGAAAGGGAUGACUGAAAUGUUUAUUUUUAUGAUAACUACUUUUGUUACAGAACAUGACUGUUUUAAAGUUUUUAUGUGAAAUUUUCAGAUUUCUUUCCUGAAUACUUGUACUUUCAAAUAUUUAACUUAAUAUAAAUACUUUUUAGCUCACCAGAGCACAAAGUGCUCAGGGUGAGCUAUUGUGAUCACUCACCGUCCGACGUCCGUCCAUCCACACUUUCCUUUAAACAACAUCUCCUCCUAAACCAACAGGCCAAUUUUGAUGAAACUUCACAGGGAUGUUCCUUGGAUGGUCUUCUCUAAAAAUUGUUCAAAGAAUUGAAUUCCAUGUAGAACUCUGGUUGCCAUGGCAACCAAAAGGAAAAACUUAAAAAAUCUUCUUCUCAAAAACCAGAAGCCCUAGAGCUUAGAUAUUUGGUGUGAAGCAUUGCGUAGUGGACCUUUACCUAUUUUGUUCAAAAUAUGACCCCGGGGUCAAAAUUGACCCCGCCCCAGGGGUCACUUGAUUUUACAUAGAAAAAUCUUAAAAAAUCUUCCUCUCGAAAACCAGAAGCCCUAGACCUUAGAUAUUUGACAUGUAGCAUUGCCUAAUGGACCUCUACUAAAAUUGUUCAAAUCAUGACCCCGGGGUCAAAAUUGACCCCGCCCCAGGGGUCACUUGAUUUUACAUAGGAAAAUCUUCAAAAAAAUUUUAAAAAUAAAGCAGAAGGCCUAGGUCUUAGAUAUUUCACGUGUAGCAUUGCCUAGUGGACCUCUACAAAUUUUGUUCAAAUCAGACCCCCGGGGUCAAAAUUGACCCCACCCCAGGGGUCACUUGAUUUUACAUAGGAAAACCUUAAAAAAUCUUCUUCUCAAAAAGCAGAAGCCCUAGAGUUUAGAUAUUUGACAUGUAGCAUUGCCUAGUAGACCUCUACUAAAGUUGUUCAAAUCAUGACCCCCGGGGUCAAAAUUGACCCCGCCCUAGGGGUCGCUUGAUUUUACAUAUGAAAAUCUUCAAAAAUUUUCUUAAAAUAAACCAGAAGGCCUAGAGCUUAGAUAUUUCACAUGUAGCAUUGCCUAGUGGACCUCUACAACUUUUAUUCAAAUCAUAACCCCAGGGUCAAAAUUGACCCCGCCCCAGGGGUCACUUGAUUUUACAUAGGAAAAUCUUCAAAAAAUUUCUAAAAAUAAACCAGAAGGCCUAGGUCUUAGAUAUUUGACAUGUAGCAUUGCCUAGUAGACCUCUACAAAAUUUCUACAAAAUUUCUUCAAAUCAUGACCCCCGGGGUCAAAUUGGCCCCGCCCCAUGGGGUACUUGAUUGUACAUAGAAAAAUCUUCAAUAUUUUCUAAAAAUAAACCAGAAGGCCUAGAGCUUAGAUGUUCGACAUGUAGCAUUGCCUAGUGGACCUCUACAAAAUUUGUUCAAAUCUUGACCCCCCAGGGUCGAAUUGACCCAGCCCCAGGGGUUACUUUAUUGUACAUAGGGAAAUCUUCAUAAAUUUGCUUAAAAUAAACCAGAAGGCUUAGAUCUUAGAUAUUCGAUAUGUAACAUUGCCUAGUCGACUUCUACAAACUUUGUUCAAGCCAUGACCCCAGGGGUAAAAUUGGCCCCGCCCCAGGGGCUACUUGAUUGUACAUCAGAAAAUUUUCCAAAAAAUUUCUAAAAAUCAUCAGUUUGACAUUUGAAACAUAUUACUCUGGUGAGCGAUCCAGUACUUUCUAGUAUUCUAGAUAAGCAUAAACAAUAAAAAAUCAAUAGUAAUAUAUGUUUCAUUUAUUUCAAAAUAGUAAUUUAUUACCAGCAGGUAAAAGGCAAGUUAUGAAGAAACAAUGACAGAAAUGUCUUAUUCUUAUAGUUGUUACUCAUGUUACAAACACUGUCAUGAAACAAAACAUUUUAAUUUUUUUAACAUGGAAUUUUGAGAUAAUAUUUUUGAAUACAUACCAUUUUAUAAUAUUCAAGUUAUCUGAAACACUUUUCCUAAUUUAGCUCAUUUUUAAAGUGUUAUUGUAGAAAACAGAAUCAAAUGCAUAUGUUGCCAUGGUAACAUAAUUUAAUAAUGUUUUUAUAGAAAAUGUGAAGGACUUUAGCCAGCUAGAUGUUUGCACUUUAAGUGAAUAUCUAAAUAUUCUUUGUAAAAGAAGAUUCAUUUAUUUCAAAAUAGCCAGUGAUUACCAGUAAGUGAAAACACAAACUGGAGAAACAACGACUGAAAUAGUUUAUUCUUAAGGUUAUUUCCCGUGUUACGAAAUCUGUCAUAAAACCAAACAUUUUAUAUCUUUUCACAUAAAAUUUUCAAAUUUUACUUUUGAAUACAUAAACCUCUAAAUAUUCAACUUAUAAGAAACAUUAUUUUAAAUUAAGCCUUUAUUUUUAAGUACUGUUGUAGAAAAAGCAAUUUAUUGCAUAUGUUGCCAUGGUAACGCAAUUUGAAUAAUGUUUUCAUAGAAAAUAUGAAAGAUUUAAAUUAGCUAUAUUUUUCUGUUUUAUUUCCCAUUCAAACAUUGCAUUCAGUUAUUCAAAUGAAUCAACUUUUAAAAUUACCUCAACAUAUUUUCAUAUAUUUAUCUGUUUUUCGACAAUUCGACAUCGUACCGAACAAUACUAACAGCGAAUCCGAAGUCUAACAACCGCGUAACAACGAAUAAAGAUAUAAGCAGUCAGUAAAAUAACUUGAAUAUUCAACUUAUAAGAAACAUUAUUUUAAAUUAAGCUUUUAUUUUUAAGUACUGUUGUAGAAAAAGCAAUUUAUUGCAUAUGUUGCCAUGGUAACGCAAUUUGAAUAAUGUUUUCAUAGAAAAUAUGAAAGAUUUAAAUUAGCUGUAUUUUUCUGUUUUAAGUAAGCAUCACAAAAAUAAAAUUUCAUAGUAAUUGAAGGUUCCUUUUUUCCAAGGUAGUCAUUUAUUACCAGCAUGUAAAAGACAAGUUAUGAAGAAACAAUUACAAAUCUAUCUUAUUCUUGUGGUUAUUACCCAUGUUACAAAAACUGUCAUAAAACCAAACAUUAUCAAUAUUUUCAUCGGAAAUUUUCAGUUUAUUUUUGUAAAUACAUAUGCCUUAAAAUAUUUUGCUUUUUAAAAUCCUUAUUUCAAGCGAACAUGUUUUUUUUAAAGUUUUAUCAUAGAAAAGGGAUUUUAAUAUAUUUGUUGCCAUGGUAACACAAUUUUAGAAAUAUUUUUAUAGAAAUUGUUGUAGAUUUUAAUUGAUUAUCAUUUUGUGUAUUAAGAAGGGAUCUUACUUAUAUCAUAUAAUUGUAACAAAAGAUAAAUUUAUUUCAGAAUUGUUAGCCAUUACCAGUAUGUGAGAAAUAAACUAGAAAGAAAGGAUAACUGAAAUGUACUGUUUUCAUUUUUAAUAUCUUGGUUACAAAAUCUGCCAUAAAAUUGACAGUUUUGAAGAUUUUCAUCUGAAAUUUUCAGGAUUUAUUUCUGAAUGAAUAUACUUUCUAAAUAUGCAAAAACCUGAAAAUGUCAAAAUUCCUCAUCUGGACCCAUUUUCUCAGUCAUGGUCACAAUUAAAACUCAUAUUGCAAUGGUUGUUUUGUUUGCGAAUGGUACAGAACGUUGAUUUUACUGACUGCUUAUAUCUUUAUUCGUUGUUACGCGGUUGUUAGACUUCGGAUUC